AUAAUUAUUAAAGUAGCAAAAUUUGGUGUUGGUGGAUUCACACCUUGGGCACUUUAGGGCUGCCUCAGGCAGUGGUAUCUUUGCUAACCGGGCUCGAUCAGCCAUCGAACCAGGUCUAAUCGAGCCAGUACCACCAUCGCCGACACAAGGAGGUGGAGGAAGAGGCGGAAGCUGGAGGUUUUCAUUGCUAGCUCCUCCUUGUUGAUUUGGUUGCUGCUGCCAAUUGGGAGGAUCUAAAUAGACUGGAACUGAAGAGAAAACCAUGGUUUUUUUUUUUCCUUUUUUUUUUUUUUUUUUUUUUAGCUAGCAUAGUUAGGAAAAGGUUGAUGGGUCUUUAGGAAAGAAAAUAUGGUGGAGAAUCACACCAAGAGAAUACCAGAGCCAAGAAAGCAAGAGAAAAAAAGAGAAUUAAAGGGGAAG
rnacentral:misc_RNA from 1 species